AUUGAACGCUGGCGGCAGGCCUAACACAUGCAAGUCGAGCGGAUGAAGGGAGCUUGCUCCUGGAUUCAGCGGCGGACGGGUGAGUAAUGCCUAGGAAUCUGCCUGGUAGUGGGGGUAACGUCCGGAAACGGGCGCUAAUACCGCAUACGUCCUGAGGGAGAAAGUGGGGGAUCUUCGGGCCUCACGCUAUCAGAUGAGCCUAGGUCGGAUUAGCUAGUUGGUGGGGUAAAGGCCUACCAAGGCGACGAUCCGUAACUGGUCUGAGAGGAUGAUCAGUCACACUGGAACUGAGACACGGUCCAGACUCCUACGGGAGGCAGCAGUGGGGAAUAUUGGACAAUGGGCGAAAGCCUGAUCCAGCCAUGCCGCGUGUGUGAAGAAGGUCUUCGGAUUGUAAAGCACUUUAAGUUGGGAGGAAGGGCAGUAAGUUAAUACCUUGCUGUUUUGACGUUACCAACAGAAUAAGCACCGGCUAACUUCGUG
rnacentral:rRNA from 1 species